GCCAGGUGUGGCAGUGCACACCUGUAGUUCUACUUGGGAGGCUGAGACAGGAGAAUCAUUUGAGCCCAGGAGUUCAAGGCUGCAGUGAGCUAUGAUCACAGCACUGCACUCCAGCCUGGGCAACAGACUGAGACCCCGUCUCUU
ensembl:misc_RNA Metazoa_SRP Metazoan signal recognition particle RNA